rnacentral:rRNA from 1 species
AUUGGACGCUGGCGGCAUGCCUUACACAUGCAAGUCGAACGGCAGCACGGGUGCUUGCACCUGGUGGCGAGUGGCGAACGGGUGAGUAAUAUAUCGGAACGUACCUUAUUGUGGGGGAUAACGCGGCGAAAGCUGUGCUAAUACCGCAUACGCCCUGAGGGGGAAAGCGGGGGAUCGCAAGACCUCGCGCGAUUAGAGCGGCCGAUGCCUGAUUAGCUUGUUGGUGGGGUAAAAGCCCACCAAUGCGACGAUCAGUAGCUGGUCUGAGAGGACGAUCAGCCACACUGGGACUGAGACACGGCCCAGACUCCUACGGGAGGCAGCAGUGGGGAAUUUUGGACAAUGGGGGCAACCCUGAUCCAGCAAUGCCGCGUGAGUGAAGAAGGCCUUCGGGUUGUAAAGCUCUUUUGUCAGGGAAGAAACACCGGCUCUAACACAGUCUGGGAAUGACGGUACCUGAAGAAUAAGCACCGGCUAACUACGUGCCAGCAGCCGCAGUAA